rnacentral:rRNA from 1 species
UACGUAGGGUGCGAGCGUUAAUCGGAAUUACUGGGCGUAAAGCGUGCGCAGGCGGUUCGUUGUGUCGGCGGUGAAAGCCCGGGCUUAACCUGGGAAUGGCCGUUGAAACUGGCGAACUGGAGUGUGGCAGAGGGGGUGGAAUUCCGCGUGUAGCAGUGAAAUGCGUAGAGAUGCGGAGGAACACCGAUGGCGAAGGCAGCCCCUGGGCCGAUACUGACGCUGAGGAGCGAAAGCGUGGGGAGCGAACAGG